rnacentral:rRNA from 1 species
CCUACGGGGGGCAGCAGUGGGGGAUAUUGCACAAUGGGGGGAACCCUGAUGCCGCGACGCCGCGUGGGUGAAGAAGCGCCUCGGCGCGUAAAGCCCUGUCAGCAGGGAAGAAAAUGACGGUACCUGAAGAAGAAGCCCCGGCUAACUACGGGCCAGCAGCCGCGGUAAUACGUAGGGGGCAAGCGUUAUCCGGAUUUACUGGGUGGAAAGGGGGGGCAGACGGCGAUGCAAGCCAGGAGUGAAAGCCCGGGGCCCAACCCCGGGACUGCUCUUGGAACUGCGUGGCUGGAGUGCAGGAGGGGCAGGCGGAAUGCCUGGUGUAGCGGUGAAAUGCGUAGAUAUCAGGAGGAACACCGGUGGCGAAGGCGGCCUGCUGGACUGCAACUGACGUUGAGGCCCGAAAGCGUGGGGAGCAAACAGGAUUAGAUACCCCUGUAGUC